rnacentral:rRNA from 1 species
UACGUAGGGUGCAAGCGUUGUCCGGAAUUAUUGGGCGUAAAGAGCUCGUAGGCGGUUUGUCGCGUCUGCUGUGAAAACCCGAGGCUCAACCUCGGGCCUGCAGUGGGUACGGGCAGACUAGAGUGCGGUAGGGGAGAUUGGAAUUCCUGGUGUAGCGGUGAAAUGCGCAGAUAUCAGGAGGAACACCGGUGGCGAAGGCGGGUCUCUGGGCAACAACUGACGCUGAGGAGCGGAAGCGUGGGGAGCGAACAGG